AUGGCACAUUGCGAAACCAGUCUGGCCACCUUCUACUUCUCCUCGAGCACUGAUCAAUGGCAAGCCGCUGCACCCAAGGAUUUGAAUGAUUUGGCCCCUGGCAAGGGCUAUAUUCACAGGAGCCAUUAUGCUUAUGGCUGUUUCUAUUGGGACUGGGUGAAUUUUGGAAUGAAAAAAUUGCUCUUGCUUAACACCAGAAAGAUGGAGUUCUCCACUGCUGACCUCCCACCAGGAGAAUGGACCUAUGAAGGUAUAGCCAUUGUGGAGGCAGGGGAAGGCAGGCUUGGGAUCUUUGGUUUCCACUGUGAAAUUUCACCCGAUCUCAGCUAUACCGUUGCACGGAAAAAAGGCGAGAGUCCGAGUCAGUGGCAGAUGGAGAAGACAAUCUCACUAGAUUCUAGAUACAAAUAUUUUAUCAAAGAUGCAACACAGAGGUACUUGUUCUUAACGAGGAGAGAAGCCUCAUCUCUAUAUAAUGAACUUGUUGGAUAUUUCUCAAUAGACGUCAAGACAUUGCAGCUUCAGAGGGUUUAUCAGAAACAACACUAUCCUUGGAAUGAGGCAUAUUCAUAUAUCAACUUCCCACCAUCAUUGUUGUCUUCAAGGAGAAUAUGA
rnacentral:rRNA from 1 species